CAGAGGAGGUGGAGCGGGUGAUGGGAUGGUCAGAUCGAUCUAGAGGAGGCGGAGCAUAUGGCUGGUGUCAACGGAAACGCGUUGCCAGAUCGAUUUGUCUCCACAAGAUUUAUCCAUUGACAAAGCAAAUGAUUACAAAAAAUACCGGUGGGAGUACUAUGGUCGGAGUACUAGCGCAAAUUUAGCUUUGAAGCUCUUAGUAUGUGUGACAAGAACCUGAAGCUUUAGAGGCACCAAGACAUCAAUAAUUUAGAUGAGAUGACAAGCUUGAAAUAAGAUUUUUAUCUCAGCGUGCAUGAACUGAACUAUUGGUUGGAUUUCUAUUUCGGUAAGUAACUUUGUGAAGUAUGUGUGCAGAAAGAUACACAAUUGAAGCUUCCUGUGCUUCGCUGCUACCGCAUGUGUCAAUUUAUACAUGUAUAGGUGUUUAUCUUUUAGUGAAAUUGAUAUGGUUAUGUUGCUUCUGGUAAGUCUCACCAGUUUGCUCGAUGAAGUUUGCACGUACGUUAAAUUGCUAACCAGUUGUAUAAAGUAGAACAUGUAUACCCAGUGCAAAGCACGGGCCUUUUCAUGUUACUAAAAAAGAUCCACUGUAUUCUAACUUCUAGAUCCAUUAUGGAAGCGAUUUCACACAGAUCGUAUUUUAUUUUGGCCUCCACUACUAUAAAGUAUUCCUUCUGAAAUACUUUACAGUGAGCUUGGUAAUAUAUUUUAGCAGCUUGCUGAGAUAUGACAUUAGGGAAAUCGUCAUUAGACAAUAGGUUAUCUUACAGGUAAGUAUACAGUAAUUUUCGGAUUCCUCAUUUUGGUGAUUCAGAUCAGCGAGGUGGUUAGCCUACUACACUCAGCAAGCGAGGUGAUUGUUGGAGUAUUAGGCCUAUAGAAGUGGCUUGACUCCAUUUUUAUUUUCAGCGGAUUCAUGCCUUCAUGGUUACUUCAGUUUGUGGUUCGACCCUUCCAGGUAUAUCUCACGGUUACUACAAAAUCUUAUUUACAGAAACCAAGCUUGCAUAUUCUUGUGUACUUGUAUUAUUUUUUAUGUGUAACAGUACCAUGUGUAAUAUGUAUGGUGAUAUGAAUACUAAACUCUGGAGAGAAUCUCCGAGCUGGAGCACCACACUCUCAAUAAGUGCCAAUAUGAUUCUUCUGUACUGGCAACUGCGCUAGAAGAUCUGAAACUACAGCUUAUACUUGGUUCUCCAGUUGUGAGGUCUUAGCUUGUAGGAGAGAGAGGUAAAUACACCGGCACAUGAGAUGGAAAGAUAGGAAGCCAAACAAGCAGCAUAUAAUGUUUUAAUUUAUGUCCGGUAAAUGCCAUUGAUAUUAGUAUUAUUACUGCAGUUCAUCAUUUUGAUGGUGCUUAAAAUUAGAGUUGCUACUUGCAGUUUUUUCCUCUGGAUUACCGAAAAUUCUUAGAUGUUUAAUGUAAAUAUUCUAAGUAUAUUAUACUUCAGUGGAGGGAACUAUGGCAGUUAGUCUUUAUCUAUAGAGGAUUUUCUUGAAGAAAAAUGUUUGUUCACUUUCCAGGGCGAUCGAUCAUCUCCUUCAUGUUCGGUUUCUGGGAGAACACUAUGAGCCAGCAGUGUAUAUAUAUGGCAUAUCGUUGGCAGGUCAGUUGCUAUAUCCAUAGAUGUAAUGAAGUAUUUUCUGUAAGGGAAAGUGCUCUUCUCUUCAUGAUGGUACCAAUUAGAGAGUUCUUGAUAUUGACCAUUCUAAUGGCGGCGACUUGUGUACC